UACGUAGGCAGCGAGCGUUGUUCGGAGUUACUGGGCGUAAAGGGUGUGUAGGCGGUCCUCCAAGUUUGGUGUGAAAUCUCCCGGCUCAACCGGGAGGGUGCGCCGAAAACUGGGGGGCUAGAGUGCGGGAGGGGAGAGUGGAAUUCCUGGUGUAGCGGUGAAAUGCGUAGAGAUCGGGAGGAACACCAGUGGCGAAGGCGGCUACCUGGACCAGCACUGACACUGAAGCACGAAAGCGUGGGGAGCAAACAGG
rnacentral:rRNA from 1 species